rnacentral:rRNA from 1 species
UGGGGGAUAUUGCACAAUGGGCGAAAGCCUGAUGCAGCGACGCCGCGUGGGGGAUGAAGGCUUUCGGGUUGUAAACCUCUUUCGCUAUCGAACAAGGCCCGCUUAGGGUGGGUUGAGGGUAGGUGGAGAAGAAGCGCCGGCUAACUACGUGCCAGCAGCCGCGGUAAUACGUAGGGCGCGAGCGUUGUCCGGAAUUAUUGGGCGUAAAGGGCUUGUAGGCGGCUUGUUGCGCCUGCUGUGAAAACGCGGGGCUUAACUUCGCGCGUGCAGUGGGUACGGGCAGGCUUGAGUGUGGUAGGGGUGACUGGAAUUCCAGGUGUAGCGGUGGAAUGCGCAGAUAUCUGGAGGAACACCGGUGGCGAAGGCGGCCCCCUGGACAAAGACUGACGCUCAGGUGCGAAAGCGUGGGGAGCAAACAGG